rnacentral:rRNA from 1 species
UACGAAGGGGGCUAGCGUUGCUCGGAAUCACUGGGCGUAAGGGGUGCGUAGGCGGAUCGUUAAGUCGGGGGUGAAAUCCUGGAGCUCAACUCCAGAACUGCCUCCGAUACUGGCGAUCUUGGAGUCCGGGAGAGGUGAGUGGAACUCCGAGUGUAGAGGUGAAAUUCGUAGAUAUUCGGAAGAACACCAGUGGCGAAGGCGGCUCACUGGCCCGGUACUGACGCUGAGGUGCGAAAGCUAGGGGAGCAAACGGG